ensembl:lncRNA
CCGGAGCCUCAGUCGGGAUCGGUGCGGCUGUAGCGGUAGAGCUGGUCCGGCUCGGCAUGAAAGUGGUGGGCUGCGCCAGGGACGUCAGAAAACUCCAGGUUUGUUCUGAACUAACAAACUGGAUUUCAACAGAGAUUAUUUAAUGUAAAACUCUAAUGAAAAGGAAUUUUUAAUAUGAAGCUCUGUCAGGCAAACAUCAUAUUGGGGCUGUCGAGCAGACAGACCCUUUGUUUUACUGUGAAUAAAUUAUAAAUACUUUAAUUCUUAAAACAGGUGCAUUAGUUUAUGAUAAAGACAUUGGAGGGGAGUUAUUAUUUCCAUCUAUGCACCAAACCGAUUUCAGCUGAAAUGGAUGGAGCAAUAACAAAUUGCAUAAGGCAAUCCUAUUGAUGUACGCUUCAAAGAAGAAGAGUUGAGAGAAGCAAAAAAUAAAGAAACAAAUAAAGAAAAACAUAGUUUAUGUGGUAUAUAUUGGUCUAUAUGCAUGGGUUUCAUCUUGAUGAAUGGAGCUGUCCAAAUCCACAAAGAGCAGUAAACCUCAGGUCAACAGCCACAGCACAGGUCAGCUGAUCACAACCUGUACACAAAGAAAUCUGCUGGAGCUUAUUAUGAUUAAUUUACUCAUGCUGCAAUGAUAUAUAUAAAAAAAAAAAAAAACACCCAGCACGCCCCUGUGGGCGGUUUAUCCUUCAAGCUCGGGUCCUCUACCAGAGGCCUGGGAGCUUGAGGGUCCUGCGCAGUAUCUUAGCUGUUCCCAGGACUGCGCUCUUCUGGACAGAGAUCUCCGAUGUUAUUCCCGGGAUCUGCUGGAGCCACUCGCCUAGCUUGGGAGUCACCGCACCUAGUGCUCCGAUUACCACGGGGACCACCAUUACCUUCACCCUCCACAUCCUCUCGAGCUCUUCUCUGAGCCCUUGGUAUUUCUCCAGCUUCUCGUGUUCCUUCUUCCUGAUAUUGCUGUCAUUCGGAACCGCUACAUCGAUCACUACGGCCGUCUUCUUCUGUUUGUCUACCACCACUAUGUCCGGUUGGUUAGCCACCACCAUUUUGUCCGUCUGUAUCUGGAAGUCCCACAGGAUCUUAGCUCGGUCAUUCUCCACCACCCUUGGGGGCAUCUCCC